GGCUGCAUUCUGGCCUCUGUGUGAUCCUCAGGCAGUGAACUGAGCUGCAGGCUGGGCAGCUGAAGGCCUGACCAAGAUCAUGUUGCAGUUCCCUGGGGGUGGCUCUUCCACCUACCCUACCCAGGCAGGACCCCUAGCCCACCCUAUUCCAGAAAUGUCCCAAGCAGAGCCUCUUGAGGUCUGUCCUGAGGAGGCAGCUGGAGGCAAAGGGCAUGCCUUCCUAUUCCGGCUGCGCAGCCAGCGAACUCUACGGUUCAGCCACAGUCAUGCAUCUAGGGCCUGUGGGUCUGACAUGUGGACAGGAAGAGAAAUCCCACACGGAGCCAGACUCUGGGGCUUAUGAGGAAGCAAGGGCCAGAUUAUGAACAAAGCACACACGUGGGGCUGCCAUUUUAAGUCGGGUCGUGCUGACAUCUGAGGACAGCUGCAGGAGAUUCUUCUUGAAAAUUUAUGUUGCUGGAUGAGGAAACAAAGUCGAGUUAUGAAGUAACUUUCCUGGUGCAGAGGCCCAGAUUGGAAUUCCAAUAAAUUUGACUUUAUCUAUAUAAA
rnacentral:lncRNA from 1 species